UACAGAGGUCCCAAGCGUUGUUCGGAUUCACUGGGCGUAAAGGGUGCGUAGGUGGCAGGGUAAGUUUGAUGUGAAAUCUCCGUGCUUAACUCGGAACUGCAUUGAAUACUAUCCUGCUCGAGGGUUGGAAGGGGGACUGGAAUUCUCGGUGUAGCAGUGAAAUGCGUAGAUAUCGAGAGGAACACCAGUGGGCGAAAGGCGAGUCCCGUGGACAAUACC
rnacentral:rRNA from 1 species